rnacentral:rRNA from 1 species
GACGAACGCUGGCGGCGUGCUUAACACAUGCAAGUCGAACGGAAAGGCCCUGCUUUUGUGGGGUGCUCGAGUGGCGAACGGGUGAGUAACACGUGAGUAACCUGCCCUUGACUUUGGGAUAACUUCAGGAAACUGGGGCUAAUACCGGAUAGGAGCUCCUGCUGCAUGGGGGGGGUUGGAAAGUUUCGGCGGUUGGGGAUGGACUCGCGGCUUAUCAGCUUGUUGGUGGGGUAGUGGCUUACCAAGGCUUUGACGGGUAGCCGGCCUGAGAGGGUGACCGGCCACUUUGGGCCUGGGAUACGGCCAAGACUCCUACGGGAGGCAGCAGUGGGGAAUAUUGCACAAUGGGCGGAAGCCUGAUGCAGCAACGCCGCGUGCGGGAUGACGGCCUUCGGGUUGUAAACCGCUUUCGCCUGUGACGAAGCGUGAGUGACGGUAAUGGGUAAAGAAGCACCGGCUAACUACGUG